rnacentral:rRNA from 1 species
CCCCAGACUCCUACGGGAGGCAGCAGUGGGGAAUAUUGCACAAUGGGGGAAACCCUGAUGCAGCGACGCCGCGUGAGCGAUGAAGUAUUUCGGUAUGUAAAGCUCUAUCAGCAGGGAAGAGAAUGACGGUACCUGACUAAGAAGCCCCGGCUAACUACGUGCCAGCAGCCGCGGUAAUACGUAGGGGGCGAGCGUUAUCCGGAUUUACUGGGUGUAAAGGGAGCGUAGACGGUUCUGCAAGUCUGAAGUGAAAGCCCGGGGCUUAACCGCGGAACGGCUUUGGAAACUGUGGAACUGGAGUGCGGGAGAGGCAAGCGGAAUUCCUAGUGUAGCGGUGAAAUGCGUAGAUAUCAGGAGGAACACCGGUGGCGAAGGCGGCCUGCUGGACUGCGACUGACGUUGAGGCCCGAAAGCGUGGGGAGCAAACAGGAUUAGAUACCCCAGUAC